rnacentral:misc_RNA from 1 species
CAAAUUUAUGGUCAAAUUAUAUCGCUCUGGCUUGGUUCCACCUUAAACGUUGUGGUCUCAUCCUCCGAGUUGGCCAAGGAAGUGCUCAAAGACAAGGAUCAGCUAUUGGCUCAUAGGCCAAGAAAUAAGCCUGUGAGUAUAAUGUCCAAAGAUGGCAAAGGCAUUCUGUGGGCAGAUUAUGGUCCUCAUUACGUUAAACUGAGAAAAAUUUGUACUCUCGAGCUCUUCUCCCCAAAGGGUAUUGAAGCUCUCAGACCUAUCAGAGAAGGUGAAGUCAGAGCUAUGGUUGAGUCAAUUUUUAAAGAGACUAUUAAUCCUGAUAAUUAUAGCAAGAUUUUGUUACUUAGAAAGUAUUUGCAGCCCGUAGUCUCAAACAGCGUUACAAUGUUAGUAUUAGGGAAGCGAUUCUUGUCUAGAGGUGGUGUGACAAGCGAACUGGGACAGGAG